AUGUACCAAAACCACAGAAAUAUGUAGGUUUUCUCGUUGACUAUGUUCAACGGGAGUAUGCAUAGCGAGUCAUGGGUUUGUAUG